AAUUCGAACAGUGGGAGGGGCAGAUGGGACCAGGAAGUACACAAAGGAGAUCAGAGUGUAGAACUGGAGACUAUUUGGAAGUGACUCAAGACACACACCAUACCGGAUGGUCCCAGGCCUGGAAGGCCCAACUAUCCUGUACACCAGGACACAUGGUCGCGUCGAAUGAAAUCGAGUGCAGCAUCAAGACGACUUGCAGGCCCACACUUAAAAGAGGGCUUUGUGGUGUCUUUAUGAUUUGUUAACAGAGUCGUUUGUGUGUUCUGCUGUGACGCUUGUGAUUUUAAAUGAGUGACCAAACACUGCAAUAAAACUUCAGCCCCAAUCAGCGUCAUGUUCCUUGCCUUAAGAACCAUAGCAACGGGUGUCCUCUGGUGCAGUCUCUGAACAUGAAGUGCAGUUGCAAUGACAGUGUUUCACCAUGAGUGGCGCUGUCUCACAGGUUAGAAGUUCUAUGUGAAGAGUUACUGUUGUUCUUGGUCGUAGUGUUCUAAGGAA